rnacentral:rRNA from 1 species
AGAGUAAAAUAGUACGUGAAAUUGUUGAAAGGGAAACGAUUGAAGUCAGUCGUACCGAUGGGCACUCAGCUCCUCGGGUGGGAUCGUGACGGAUGUGGGAAGAUCUCACUCUGCCACCGUUCCUUCCUCUGGGGUGUAAUUGUCCGUAUGGUAGGUUAACAUCAAUUUUGAUCGUCAUAAAAUGACGGGAGGAAUGUAGCUUCCUUCAGGAAGUGUUAUAGCCUCUGGUAGAUAUGAUGAUCGGGAUUGAGGAUUGCAACGAAUACCCCUUCGGGGUUACCUGUCUGGCCUCUGGUCGUCGCCUUGGUGCCGAAAGCGUGCUUAUGGUAUCAAAGUUUGAUGGUCAAAAGGUUAGCACGGGUUAUAUUCGUUAAGGAUGUUGACGUAAUGACUUUAAACGACC